rnacentral:hammerhead_ribozyme from 1 species
GCACUGCUGAAGAGUCCCACAAUAGGACAAAAUCGCCGUCCAGUGC